CAAAGAUACGGAAGUCCAUUUGCAGGAGAAAGAGAGCAUAAACACAGUUAAGUGGAUAUUAAUGAACACUAAACAAGAAUGGUCCCUAAAGAUAUCAUCCUUCAAUAAGAAAAUCCUCUUGCCAGAAGACCUGGCUCUAAGCAUGUAGAACUUGACUGUCAGAGCUGCUGACCUCUACCAUGAGCUUCAAGUCUACUGGCAGACCUGCACACUGACUCCCAGUGUGACAGUCUGUUAUCCUCUGCCCAGAACCUUGCCAGUGUGGCUAGACACUAUCCAAUGGCAGCACUGAUGGACUUUUCCUGCACAGUCUCCAGCCAGAAAAGGCAGGAAGGGAAAGAGUGAAGACAAGUCCACCCCAGCACCUGAAGUGGGCAGGAAAGCAGGGAAGAAUCUACUAUGCUUUAUUCUGAUGGUCCAUGGAGCUGCACUUCCCAACAUUUCUAGGAGAAAGUAUGAGUCAGAAAUCCUACGGGAACUCCUGCAGCAGCCCAGCUCCCUCCACAACCCACACAUCCUCAACAGAGCACUGCGCAAUCCAAUCCAUAUGGUGUAUCUGCACCGCAACGUGGGCCAGAGUGGGGUGCGGCCUUACGUUAGGCUCUCAUAUGAUA